UGAAAAUACACCGUCAUAGCAACGUAGUUCGUAGUCGUCCAAAGUAAAAGUAAGAUUUCGUUGUAUCGUAUAUUAAAGUUGUAUCGUACGCGUGACUUUUGUUAUCCAACGAUUGAAAAUUAAAUAAAAUGUCAUUAUUUAAAACGAAAGAAUGGUGGAGAACGAAAUGUGGAUCAAACGAGACGUUCGAUCGAUCGAGUCUCCUUGUGGUUUCUUUAUUUGAAGACGACAGAAAGGAUUGCGUCGUAAUUGGCAGUCAUCAAGGAUAUUUAAGGAUAUAUAAUUUAUCAUCUCAAUGGCAGGACGAAACAAAAUCUUCGACGGGUUACAAAUCUAUCGAUCUUAUGACCGAAACAAAACUCGGUGAUUGUAUCGUCGACAUAAAGGCGGGAAAAUUAGUAUCUGGUUCCCAAGAUACUCGUCUGGCAGUAUUAACAUCGAGCAAGCUUAUAGUUUACACGGUUGCAUUGACAAAGGGAUCUAUCGAACAUGGAGAUCAAUGUAAUCUGGAAAUUGCUUACGAACACAGAUUACCACGCUUUCCAGCAUCCCUCGUAGUUGGUCCAUUCGGUGGUGUACGUGGCAGAGACUUCUUAUGCGUUCAAUACUUGGACGGAACUUUAUUCUUUUACGAGCAAGAAGCUUAUGCCUUCAGUCAACUUCUAAGGAAUCGUCUGUUGCCCGAACCGAUCGUUUACAUUUCGCGGAACGACGUCUUCGUCACUUCGAAUUGCUCGUGGAUCCUCGAAUGCUACAGGUAUCAAAAUAUAGCAGAGUUUGGAAGAAAUCAAAAGGAUGGAGAAACGAAGAACGAAGCGGCAAAGAGCUUGGAACCAGAAUGGAGUUACAACAUAGGAGAGGCUGUAGUCGAUAUCGGUGCUGUUACCUUGAGCAGUUUCGAGAUCGGGAUCGUCGUUCUCGGGGAGAAAAAUCUUUACUGCUUCAAGGACACUGGUGCUUCGUUAAAGUACACAAAAAGGCUCGACUACAAAGCACUUUGUUUUCACGCUUACGUCAUAGAACCGGAUGGGAAACUGAUGGUGUUCGUAAUUGCCGAUACAAGCACCUUGAUGAUUUACGAGGGUACAACUCUCAAGUGGUCGGCACAGCUACCGUUCGUUCCGGUAGCCGUAACUAGAGCACAUUUUCAGUAUCUGGAUGGUUUAAUCGUUAUACUCUCGGAGGAAGGACAAUUGGAGGCCUGCUAUUUAGGAUCGGAACCUUCUCUUUUCAUAGCACCGGCUGUUCAUCGACGUGGAUUUGAUUAUAUAGCUGCGGAAGAGGAAUUGUUAGAAUUACGUAGGAAAUUGAAGGAGAUGAAACUUUCGGGCGAUCAACUUGCGGUAACACCUGUAACGGAUAUGGAAUUGCUCGUUAACGUCAACAUUUCUCCCGAUUUGGAACCUUGUCCUUUCGUUGAUAAAGAAUCGAAGGAGGAUCAAGAGAUACGACAAUUGUCUAUGUGCAGGGCAACCAUAGAAUUGUCAUCUUACACAACACUUUACGGUGUACAAGUUUGCAUCGACGUGUCGAAACCAUUCGUCUCUACGAUCACUUAUCGUGUCAUUCAAAAUCUCUGCGAAAAACACGUCGUUCAAACGUUGAUUUAUCCGAAUGAAAAUUUACCUAUUAUGUCAUCCGAAGUUAAGAUCACUGCUACGUACGAGAACGAUCGUGGGAAUUUUCGAAUAAUACAAAAGACGACGGAGUUGCCCUUAAAGUUGAUGUUGAGAGCUUGCCCGCCCGAAAACACAUCGACCUUCACCGUUAUCAUAAAGUGCAACGAGUCGCUCGUAGGAUUCAAUCAGCUCUUUCCGGAAUUUAGCGGAGAUCAUCUUCGAAAACAGAAUUGGAAUAUGUUGGGUCUACAGCACAUUCAAACUGGACACGUAGUGACAAUAGUUUCCGGUAGUACAAGCAACCGAUAUCGAGUGCAGUCGAACGACGGUCUAUCGAUGUCCUUGGUGGUGCAGCAGCUGGUUAACAGGCUCAAGGACAAGUCGACAGGAAGGCUCGCAGCAUCCAUAAGCCAGCAUCACGUGCAACUGGUGCACGUGCAGAUGGAACUUCACUUUCUAUGUCGGCAGGAAGUUGAUCGAAUAAACACCGAACUAGCUUUGCUGAUGACCCAGUUGAGAAAUAUCGAGAAAAGGAUGUUAAGAGCUGCGAGAGAGAGGAACAGCCGAUCUUUAAACGCCACAGGAUUAUCCUUCCUCUUAAGCUCGACGUAUGAUGCGAUCUCCGGACUUCUUGAUGAUCUUGCGGCGGCUCAAAUGAAACGAGAGCAUGCCAGGCAUGGUUUGCACUGCGCGCUGAGGUUGCUGCUCCUGCUCUUGCGGCUUAACGUAAAUAACGAUAAGUAUACGAUUCUGGAGUCGGCGAUCGGAUUCGAGGCACAGCUGCGUGACGAAGUCUCCCAUCCGACUACGACGGGAGGACGAUAGGAUUACGUGGAAAGUCAGGCCUGACUCCUCGAUCGAGCUUCCCGGAAGAACGGACCUUCAUCGGCACAGGGAUGACUGCUUCCUGCCUGAUCCUCGUCGUUCUAAGCAACAUCAGCAAAAGCAUCAUCAACCACCUCCGAGCGGCUAUGCCGUCCUUCGCGGAGGAGAGCGCCGGACUUGUCUUACCUCUUCCUCCUCCGCUCUUGGAUCAUCCCCACUCCAUGUAAGAGCGCCACUACGAUCGGCUGGAACUACUUGUCGUUUACGGUGGAACGAAACGGAAUGGAACCGCAUUGAACGAAACGGAACGGAAUGAGUCGGGUUAUUAAUUAGAAAAGAGAGAAGAACAGAAGAGAUUCUUGGUACCACAUCGGCUUGUGUUCCCCACUUUGCCACCCACGAUCGCUGAAACAAAACGUUAACGAGCAUCGACUCUGAAACGGGGUCCCUCUCGACAGAGGGAGAAGCACCUGUUGCUCCUUCGCUUCUAGGAAAAGGACUCUUUCGGACAUCCUGCGCAGUAUAAGAAUAAAGAGAAAUAAGGACAACGGGGGAGAAAAAA